UCAUAUAAAAAGUUAAUUUAUUUAAACUUCAUCCGAUGACGAAACAUUUCUUAAAAUUUUCGUACGGAAGUUGGCGCGAAAAUUGCCUAACCAAUCAGAGUUCCGUCGGAUCAUCGGACCAUCGUAUGACGGAUGCAUGGAAAAUAACCAUGUAUGUAGUCGGCGGGGAUCUCGACAAUCGGAAGACGGGACCGAUCUGCCAUUGUCGGUUUCAAUUUUGUAUUAUACGAAUGUGUUCACACAAGUUGGGGGUUCUCUGUGCCAGGAAGUAAUUUGUAUUGCUAUCAAAUGCGCUACUCCUUCGUAGAUGUGGUAUCGCUGCACCAAGUUGACAGCACUCAGGGAUCAUCGUGGGUUCAGAAUCUUACAGUAGAAGGACAAAACAUCAACUUCAAGAUUGACACUGGAGCUGUGGCGAAUGUGAUAUAAACGGAGACAUUAAGUAAUAUUGGGUAUGAUUUAAGAAAAAAUCUAAAAACAAACAUCAAAUUAAGUUCUUAUUCUAAACAUGAAUUGCCAGAUAAAUGUAUAUAUUAUUUAGAUUGUAAACAUAAUAAUAAGAAUUUUAGAAUACUUU